rnacentral:rRNA from 1 species
UACGAAGGGGGCUAGCGUUGCUCGGAAUCACUGGGCGUAAAGGGUGCGUAGGCGGGUUUUUAAGUCAGGGGUGAAAUCCUGGAGCUCAACUCCAGAACUGCCUUUGAUACUGAAGAUCUUGAGUUCGGGAGAGGUGAGUGGAACUGCGAGUGUAGAGGUGAAAUUCGUAGAUAUUCGCAAGAACACCAGUGGCGAAGGCGGCUCACUGGCCCGAUACUGACGCU